rnacentral:rRNA from 2 species
GACGAACGCUGGCGGCGUGCCUAAUACAUGCAAGUCGAACGAACUCUGGUAUUGAUUGGUGCUUGCAUCAUGAUUUACAUUUGAGUGAGUGGCGAACUGGUGAGUAACACGUGGGAAACCUGCCCAGAAGCGGGGGAUAACACCUGGAAACAGAUGCUAAUACCGCAUAACAACUUGGACCGCAUGGUCCGAGCUUGAAAGAUGGCUUCGGCUAUCACUUUUGGAUGGUCCCGCGGCGUAUUAGCUAGAUGGUGGGGUAACGGCUCACCAUGGCAAUGAUACGUAGCCGACCUGAGAGGGUAAUCGGCCACAUUGGGACUGAGACACGGCCCAAACUCCUACGGGAGGCAGCAGUAGGGAAUCUUCCACAAUGGACGAAAGUCUGAUGGAGCAACGCCGCGUGAGUGAAGAAGGGUUUCGGCUCGUAAAACUCUGUUGUUAAAGAAGAACAUAUCUGAGAGUAACUGUUCAGGUAUUGACGGUAUUUAACCAGAGAGCCACGGCUAACUACGUGCCAGCAGCCGCGGUAAUACGUAGGUGGCAAGCGUUGUCCGGAUUUAUUGGGCGUAAAGCGAGCGCAGGCGGUUUUUUAAGUCUGAUGUGAAAGCCUUCGGCUCAACCGAAGAAGUGCAUCGGAAACUGGGAAACUUGAGUGCAGAAGAGGACAGUGGAACUCCAUGUGUAGCGGUGAAAUGCGUAGAUAUAUGGAAGAACACCAGUGGCGAAGGCGGCUGUCUGGUCUGUAACUGACGCUGAGGCUCGAAAGUAUGGGUAGCAAACAGGAUUAGAUACCCUGGUAGUCCAUACCGUAAACGAUGAAUGCUAAGUGUUGGAGGGUUUCCGCCCUUCAGUGCUGCAGCUAACGCAUUAAGCAUUCCGCCUGGGGAGUACGGCCGCAAGGCUGAAACUCAAAGGAAUUGACGGGGGCCCGCACAAGCGGUGGAGCAUGUGGUUUAAUUCGAAGCUACGCGAAGAACCUUACCAGGUCUUGACAUACUAUGCAAAUCUAAGAGAUUAGACGUUCCCUUCGGGGGCAUGGAUACAGGUGGUGCAUGGUUGUCGUCAGCUCGUGUCGUGAGAUGUUGGGUUAAGUCCCGCAACGAGCGCAACCCUUAUUAUCAGUUGCCAGCAUUAAGUUGGGCACUCUGGUGAGACUGCCGGUGACAAACCGGAGGAAGGUGGGGAUGACGUCAAAUCAUCAUGCCCCUUAUGACCUGGGCUACACACGUGCUACAAUGGAUGGUACAACGGGUUGCGAACUCGCGAGAGUAAGCUAAUCUCUUAAAGCCAUUCUCAGUUCGGAUUGUAGGCUGCAACUCGCCUACAUGAAGUCGGAAUCGCUAGUAAUCGCGGAUCAGCAUGCCGCGGUGAAUACGUUCCCGGGCCUUGUACACACCGCCCGUCACACCAUGAGAGUUUGUAACACCCAAAGUCGGUGGGGUAACCUUUUAGGAACCAGCCGCCUAAGGUGGGACAGAUGAUUAGGGUG